UAAAUUAAGUUGCCAAACCAUAUCAAUAUCAUUGAAGCCGAACCCUAACUUUCAAACCAUUAUAAGUAGAACCCUAGCUUUGCAUUCUCUUUGCCAUUACACUAUCAUUGAAAUUUCAGAGCAACUCUCCUUUGUUGAAGCCAUCGACUGCCUCUGCCUCUCCUUUUCCACAAAUCAGAAUUCAAGUGAGAAGUCAUGUUGGAUUACUACUAGCGCUUAUAUUUUCGUUGGUCGGAAUUGUCAGAGCUCACGAUGUUAAGAUAACUAUAUUGGAGACUGCAAUUGCUAAAGGAGCAUGUACAUAUAUACAUGCAUAUUUUGCCUAGACGGUACCCCUCCGGGUUACGCUUAUAGCCGAGGGUAUGGAGCGGGAAUUGACAACUGGCACAUCUAUUUACAGGUUCGUGUCGGGUGCGGGUCGUGUUCGCAUUUGAAGGUACCAGGUCGGGUUCGUGUUCGGGUUCAGGUUAGGCCUUAUUGGGUUAGGUCAUUAUCAGGUUGACCCGAUAACGACCCAAUCCGCACGAUUUGCCAGUCCUAGUUGCAAGGGUGGUGGGUGGUGUCGGAAUGUAUCCGACUGCCUUGAUAGGUCAAAAAGUCCACGCGGAAGUAGUCCAAAGGCUAAAUACAUAUCAUUUGGUGGGAUGCUCGAAGAUAAUUCCACCUUUAAUCCCGGCGUUAUUGUCAGGCGGUUCAGCGGGGGGACUUGCCAGAAUCUUACAUUGUGACAAGUUCAAAACCCUAUUUGUUGAUACUACUAGGGUUAAGUGCCCGUCGGAUUCUGGGUUUUUUAUCCAUGGAGAGCAUUUUGUUGGGGCUGAUUGGAAAGAAAAUCGCUUCUUCGACGUGAUAUCAACACAUGGUUUGGCGAAUUUGUUGCCUACUUCAUGCACACCCAAAUUCAGUCCAACUCUGUGCUUCUUUCCUGAAAAUUUGGUCCUAGAUGUCAAAACUCCAUUGUUCCUAAUUGAAUCGGCCUUCGACCAAUUUCAGGUACGGGCAAUCUUAUAACUUUAAUAUUCAUUAAUAUAGUUAUUGUCAUUAUACAUAAAAUAUUUGUAUAUAUAUGUAUUCUUUUCCAACUUGAUAUAAAGGUAGGACUUACAUUCCACUCACUUUUCUACCCACUUUCCUACAUAAAGUCAAACAAUUUCUUAAAACUCGUGCCGGUCAAAUAUGGGACAUUUAAUCACGGACGGAGGGAGUAUUAUUUUUAUGUGAUUUAAUAAGUAUAAAAAUAAAGUGUUGGAAUUGCUGGGAGUUAUAAACAAGGGAAAAUAAAUCAAUGUAUAUUAUAUUUAGAAAGUAAUUCAAUACAUCAUCCGUCCCUAAAGAAUAUGCACUUUGGGUUCGGCACGAGUUUUAAUGCAAAAUUGAUAAAGUAAUAGAGAUGUAGAGAGAAAAAGUAAUUAAAAUAUUGUUAGUGGGACGGACUAAAAAGGAAAGAGUGCAUAUUCUUGCGGGGACGGAGAGAGUAGUUUGUGAUGAUGUUAACUUAAAGUAAAAAGAAUAUGCAUAUACAUAUCUUUGAAUUUGGAAAACAAAUAAAAAGGUAAAGGAGUAGAAAAAAUUGAGAGAAAUAUGGAUUAUUCUAGAAAUAGUUUAUAAUAGAUUUUUAAUUUAACUUUCUUUAAAAUGGAGGGAACUCCACUCUCUUCACCACUUUCCCUCUCUUCAACGUCUCCGGCAUCCUCUUCCCCAACAAUAUUCAUCAUCUCCUCUUUUGGCUAGCCUCUUCUCUCACCUUAAUUCGAGGGUUCAAGCUUGGAAAUCUAUAUAUGUGCACCUAUAUAUUGGAAUACCUCCGGAUAAUGUUUUGGGAGAUGUGAUUUAGAGAGAUAUGAGAUUUAGUUUUACUAUUAAUAGGAUAUUGCGAUGUUGUUGGUAAGUAUGGAAUGGGUUAUUGGACAUGAUAAUUACCGGCCUUUGUAUUGCCCUUCACGGGACCUCUGUUAUGCCUUAACCGGGCAUCUGAUUUGUUUUGCUACGAAGAGCCUCUGUUUUGCAUAUGUAAGAUGUUUCAAGACUGCACAUUACCAGGCUAUUGAGGUUAUUUCGUUGCUAUUAAAGCUAUUGAUAUUUUGUUGAGGAGAUGUUUAUAAUUAUGCAAUGAUAUCAUGUGUCUAUCCGAGUGAUACAGACCAAACAGGAGAACUCAUCCCAAAAGACUAGCAUGUUAGGAGAGAGAGCUCAUUUAGUCUGUAUACCCCACAUCAGUUGUUCUCACAACCGAUGUGGGAAUUGAGUCCGUAACA